ensembl:lncRNA
GCAGCUGAACAUCAGCAGCUCUCCUGGUCUGAGUUUCUUAGGUGCUUACACCGUGGUUGUGAAGCAGCAUUAGUUAUACAGACCCAGGUCUCCUGACAGCUGCGUCUCAAGCCAAAGGUGUGCGCUGUGCAGCAGCAGUUAGCGUAGCCUCAGCCAGAGGUCUCCACACCUCCUGGCCCUGCGUCUGUCUCCGCUGGGCACUCUGAGGGUCCAAGGGGCCCGUCCAGCUGUCGGAGGCUCAGGAGAGUCCAUCAAGCCAUCAGCGCAACCACAUCCAUCGCCUGCAGCAGCCAUGUCGCCGGAUGUUCAUCUGCCAGGGGCUGCUCCACCUCUUCUCUGCCAGAGGUCCCCACACCUGCUGGCCCUAAUACGCUGUCACCUUCUGGACCGUUUUCAUGUCACCACUGCUUUCUGCAAGCAUGUCUUUAUCCUGUCUUCCUUCCCUCACCCCAACCAAUCACAGCAGAUGGCCCCGCCCCUCCCUGAGCCUGGUUCUGCCGGAGGUUUCUUCCUGUUAAAAUCAUGCAAAUGGUCCAGAAUGCUGCUGCUCGCCUGCUGACAGAGACAAACGUGAGCACAUUACCCCUGUUCUUGCCUCUGUCCACUGGUUGCUUGUCCAUCUUAGAAUUCAUUUGAAAAUUUUAUUGUUUG